AUUGAACGCUGGCGGCAUGCCUUACACAUGCAAGUCGAACGGCAGCACGGGUGCUUGCACCUGGUGGCGAGUGGCGAACGGGUGAGUAAUACAUCGGAACAUGUCCUGUAGUGGGGGAUAGCCCGGCGAAAGCCGGAUUAAUACCGCAUACGAUCUACGGAUGAAAGCGGGGGACCUUCGGGCCUCGCGCUAUAGGGUUGGCCGAUAGCUGAUUAGCUAGUUGGUGGGGUAAAGGCCUACCAAGGCGACGAUCAGUAGCUGGUCUGAGAGGACGACCAGCCACACUGGGACUGAGACACGGCCCAGACUCCUACGGGAGGCAGCAGUGGGGAAUUUUGGACAAUGGGCGAAGGCCUGAUCCAGCAAUGCCGCGUGUGUGAAGAAGGCCUUCGGGUUGUAAAGCACUUUUGUCCGGAAAGAAAUCCUUGGCUCUAAUACAGUCGGGGGAUGACGGUACCGGAAGAAUAAGCACCGGCUAACUACGUG
rnacentral:rRNA from 1 species